CUCGGUUUGUCCGGAUCUUUCUGAUGGAUUUGUUUCACCUCGACAUUGAUGGGAGCUUCCGACUGAAUGAAGACAUCCGAUCGGCGGGAGCGCGGCGUCCAGGCUCCGUCAGGCUCCGUCAGGCUCGUUCACUUCACUGCAAAGGACAUCUAGCGGUUACGCUCCCUCCGUCUCCGCUGCCUUCCCUCUGCAGCCUGCACAUCCUCACAGUUGUCUGAGAGUGAUGUAAAGACCCUGUCAGUUGCCAUCACCUUCUCCGAGAACGUGUUCCAUCAAUCUCGACGCCAAACGGGCAAGCAAUGGCAGGUGGCACAUAUUUCACCUGCCCAGGCAAAAUGGUCCAGAAGUGGGACAAGGCAGAGACGAAAGUGACACAUACGAAGGUGACAGCUUUUCACACCUGGGAAUAAUGGUUUUGAUAGGUGUCCUGCUUGUUUCGCUGCUGCGGACUGGACAGAGACCAAAAAUGUGUGAUAAUAUACACAAUUAGCUCAUGGCGCAAAAAGACCCAGGGCCUUCACAAGCCAGGGCAAAUCUAAACUCUCUACCUUUCACCAGGAAAGCGUGACGGCUCAGUCUCAGCACAAUGCUGGAGGAAUACCAUGUUUUGACACAUCAAGGAUACAAUUAUUGGACCCUAAAGCUAUGCCUGUCCACACAUGCACCCUUCCCAGUUAGACAGUGAAUAUUUGUGGGAGCAGUGCAGUUAAUUUCCACAUUGCCACCAGAAGACUAUCAUCCCAGCUCCACCUGAUUCUCCAUGUACAACACUGAAAAGAAUACAAAUUAUCACCAAUGCAAUACACAUAUAUACCUAUAUAUGCUGUGUAUAUUUCUGUGAUAUCCCUGUCUUGUCUGUUUUAUGUCAGAUGAUAUUACACAUGUGCAGCAGCUUCAAAAGUAAAUCAGUGUUAAUAUCACUUUGGAUGUCCAAUUUAUUCUGUCACAAUAUCCCUCUCCCUUGUGUUUUGUAAAG